AUUGAACGCUGGCGGCAGGCCUAACACAUGCAAGUCGAACGGUAACAGGAAGAAGCUUGCUUCUUUGCUGACGAGUGGCGGACGGGUGAGUAAUGUCUGGGAAACUGCCUGAUGGAGGGGGAUAACUACUGGAAACGGUAGCUAAUACCGCAUAACGUCGCAAGACCAAAGAGGGGGACCUUCGGGCCUCUUGCCAUCGGAUGUGCCCAGAUGGGAUUAGCUAGUAGGUGGGGUAACGGCUCACCUAGGCGACGAUCCCUAGCUGGUCUGAGAGGAUGACCAGCCACACUGGAACUGAGACACGGUCCAGACUCCUACGGGUGGCAGCAGUGGGGAAUAUUGCACAAUGGGCGCAAGCCUGAUGCAGCCAUGCCGCGUGUAUGAAGAAGGCCUUCGGGUUGUAAAGUACUUUCAGCGGGGAGGAAGGGAGUAAAGUUAAUACCUUUGCUCAUUGACGUUACCCGCAGAAGAAGCACCGGCUAACUCCGU
rnacentral:rRNA from 1 species